AUGGGGAUGGGAACAGCUCAGCCCCUGACCCCAGCCCUGACUCUGGGCCUCAUAUUGGGACCCUUGGAGUUCAUCAGCCUCCGCCCAGGUGGGUCCCGCCCCUUUUUCCAGCUGGCCACGCCCACUUUGAGGCCCUCGACCAAUCAGGUUUCCCAACCCCAUGUCCCCCUUGUCCCCGCAGGGCUCCAGGCGGCCGUGACCCUGCUGGAGUGCGGGGGGGACCUCCAGCCCCCCGGGGGGUCCCUGCGCCUCCUCUGCCGAGGGGCCGGGUUCAGUUUUGGCAGUUUUAGCAUGCAAUGGAUCCGCCAGAGACCCGGGCAGGGGCUGGAGUGGCUCGCGGGGAUCUACAGCGGUGGUUCAGGCACCGCGUACGCGUCGUCGGUCAAGGGCAGGUUCACGAUCUCCAGGGACAACGGGCAGAGCUCGGUGACGCUGACCAUGACCGACCUCCGGGACGAGGAUUCCGGAUCCUAUUUCUGUGCCAGAUGUUACACCAGUGCUUGUGGUUAUGAUGCUGCUGCUUAUGUUGUUGGUGGUGGUUGAGAUCCCAAGCCCAUU